GAUUUUCUCUGGAAUGAAGCUUUAUCCUUGCCACACAAAAGAUCGUGUGGAAGAAAUUUCUCUGUUCGAUGGAACGAGAGGCUUCUAUUGCAAGACCUUCUAUGCUGAAGCACUUGUUUAUAUGAAGGCUUCACUAUCCAAAUCCUGUCUUCACUGGCUUCAAGAAUCCUGUCUUCACUGGCUUCAAAACUGGGAUGAAGGAGGCUCCUUAGUGGAGAGCAAAGCAAAGAGAAACUCAAAUUGGAUCCAUAUUAAAGAAGAGAAGGAUGGAUUUGUUUAGACAACACAAACCUAGGAAGGGUUUGAGAGGUGAAACAAACUGGGUUAUGGAUGAACGGGGGCAAUUGGAAUGUAGAAUUGAAGCAGUAAUUAACAUCUUGGUUUCAUCUGGGUGUUUGGCAUCAUGUUCAGAAAUGUGAAAAAUAAAAUUCAGCACCGUUA
rnacentral:lncRNA from 10 species